AAAGUGCUAGCGUAGAAACGGCAGAUGCUUUUCAUGCUCUCUUUGCUAGCGCUUCCA
rnacentral:pre_miRNA from 1 species